UUCGCAAUGCCCGAAAGGGUGACGAAGCGACGCCGCGUGGGUGAGGAAGGCCUUCGGGUUGUAAAGCCCUGUCAGGAGUUAAGAAAUGUAAGUGUGCUAAUAUCGCAUUUACUUGACGAAGGCUCCAAAGGAAGUCACGGCUAACUCUGUGCCAGCAGCCGCGGUAAUACAGAGAUGGCAAGCGUUGUUCGGAAUUAUUGGGCGUAAAGAGCACGUAGGUGGGUUUGUAAGUCAGGUGUGAAAGCCUUCUGUUCAACAGGAGAAUUGCAUCUGAAACUACAAGUCUUGAGUGUAGGAGGGGAGAAUGGAACUUCUGGUGGAGCGGUGAAAUGCGUAGAUAUCAGAAGGAACGCCGGCGGCGAAAGCGAUUCUCUGGCCUAUUACUGACACUCAGUGUGCGAAAGCUAGGGGAGCAAACGGGAUUAGAUACCCCGGUAGUCCUAGCCGUAAACGAUGGGCACUAAGUAGAGGGGUUUU
rnacentral:rRNA from 2 species